GAUGAACGCUGGCGGCGUGCCUAAUACAUGCAAGUCGAGCGAACAGACGAGGAGCUUGCUCCUCUGACGUUAGCGGCGGACGGGUGAGUAACACGUGGAUAACCUACCUAUAAGACUGGGAUCACUUCGGGACACCGGAGCUAAUACCGGAUAAUAUAUUGAACCGCAUGGUUCAAUAGUGAAAGACGGUUUUGCUGUCACUUAUAGAUGGAUCCGCGCCGCAUUAGCUAGUUGGUAAGGUAACGGCUUACCAAGGGAAUGAUGCGUAGCCGACCUGUGAGGGGGUUCCGCCACUCAGGAGCUGAGACGCGAUCCUGGCUCCUACGUGCGGCACCGAUUGGGACGCGUCCGCAAUGGGCGAAAGCCUGCCGGAGCAGCGCCGCGUGAGUGAAGAAGGUCUGCGGAUCGUAAAACGCUGUUAUUAGGGAAGAACAAAUGUGUAAGUAACGAUGCGCGUCUUGACGUAACCUAAACAGAAAGCCACGCCAACCUACUU
rnacentral:rRNA from 1 species